rnacentral:rRNA from 1 species
UGGGAACGUACCCUUUGGUUCGGAAUAACCCAGGGAAACUUGGGCUAAUACCGGAUAAGCAGGAAACUGGAAAGGUUUACCGCCGAAGGAUCGGCCCGCGUCGGAUUAGCUAGUUGGUAGGGUAAAAGCCUACCAAGGCGACGAUCCGUAGCUGGUCUGAGAGGAUGAUCAGCCACACUGGGACUGAGACACGGCCCAGACUCCUACGGGAGGCAG